GACUUCAAUGUGAACUGCAUGGGUGCUCAUGCAGGUGAAAAGCACCGCCCAGCGUUUACUGAGAGCUUGACCUCCUCUUGUUCGGCGAGCUACCACUGUCCAAGGCCCAAAGACAUCUAAGCCAGUGUGCCAACCACUGCAUGUGUUGGAUUCACUGGUGGAUCUAGAAGAGCAAACUACAUGGAUGAGCGAUGCAAUGGCUCUUUGUAAGGAUUUCCAAGAGGAGAACCUCUGAAACCUGUCAGAGGAAUGCUGGACCUGUAAACCAGUUCGACUUCACGAGCUGAGAUGCAUGGAUGGACCUGGAAGCAAUGUCAGCAGGAUUGUGCUCUGUGGGUAUGUAUCGCCAUUGCUUUGGUUCUG